UGUCAAAAUAGGUUAAUUUAUUAGUAAUAUCUCAAUUUAUCAAGCAAUUUGUAGUCAUGGGAUGGACACUUAUGAGCUUGACAUCAGAGUAUAUAAUCUUUUCUUGACACAUAUACAGGGUGCGGCAGCAUAACUUCCUUUUUUAAAAAGUUCGCCAUUUAGUCGGUAGAUGUCGUAACGGAGUGCUAGUGGUCUCGUUCGAGAGGGGGGACUAUAAAGUUUUGUCCCAGCACAGUUCAGUCGCCAUCAUGCGUUGGAACAGUGAGGAGCGUGCGUUUGCCGUUGAGGUUUACUUUUCGAGCGGAUGUUCUGUGAUCGCAACCCAGCGCGCCUUUCGGAAUCGCUUUAAUUUAGCCCCCUUGGCCCCUGUCCCGGACCGGAAAUCAAUUGUUACGUGGGUCACUACGUUCAGACAAACUGCAAGUGUGACAAGACGAAGAACUGGAGUCCCUCGGCCCAUUAGAUCACCGGAGAACAUUGAGUUAGUUAGAACUUCAGUGUUGCGAUCACCACGGCGUUCUGCGCGCAAACAUGCGUCUGCCCUUGGACUUUCCGAUCGUUCUGUGAGGAGAAUACUUCAUGAUGAUCUUCAUUUUCAUCCAUACAAGAUGGCAAUUGUGCAGGAACUUUCUGAACGUGACUUCAAUUCUCGGAGGAACGCGUGUGAGGUUUUUCUGGAAGUCGUUCCUGAGGACGCUAUUGUUUUUUUUAGUGAUGAAGCCCAUUUUCAUUUGUGUGGAUCCGUAAACAAACAAAACAUGCGCUACUGGGCUGAUACCAAUCCUCGACAAUUGCAUCAACGGCCUUUGCAUUCACCUAAAGUCACAGUGUGGUGUGCAAUUUACUCACGUGGAAUUAUUGGUCCCUGCCGCACCCUGUAGAUUAUAUACACUGGUGCUGAAAUUGUGCAAUUGGAAAGCAACUAUUGUAUGUAUGGAAAUGGUUAUUAAAAAAAAUAAAUAUUUAUUCAUUACGAAAGUAUAUUUCAGAAAGUAUAAAAAUGGGUACCCGAACUUUUUUAAUUCUUUAUUUUACAUUUAAGAAAAUUUGUAUUUUUUCAGUUGUAAUGAUUUUUAUGCCUUUUUCGGAAUUUACUAAAUCAGUUAAGUACAUAUGUGUUUUAAUCAAUUUGAUCCUAUAGAAAGAGUUACCUCAAACCAUUGACAAGAGCUCUAGAACAUAAUGAAAAAUUGAAAUACACUUCAAAGAUCGUUUAAUUGGACCAGAAUCAUUAUUUGCUUGUUAUAAUAAACUGUAUAAUGGAGUACAUGGCUGUGAAAUCAUUAAAUUAACCAAAAAAUAGGUUACCUACUAUGAUGAACCAAUAUGUGGAAGACCUUUAGGAAUAAAAUUUCAUGAUGAGUUGUUAUAUGUUGCUGAUGAAUACUAUGGAAUUUUGACAGUAAAUGUUCAUAAACGCAAGUUUGAAGUGAAGAAAGGUUUCAAAUAACAUUAAAUGGUGAUAUAUACUAGACCAAUACCUCAACUAAUGUAUGAAAUGGUUUCUUUGAAUUCUUAUCUUAUUCAUUUGACAGAUGUAUAUGAAAAGCACCCAGAGAUUGCAAAUGAGCUGAACGUAUGUGAUAAACCUGGGCGGAGUAGAAUAGAGACAGCCAGAAUUACUCAAGGCAAUUGUGAAAUUAGUGAGUCAUGGUGCUUCCACUGAUGCAAGAAGGUGAACUGAAAUUUUGAGCAGGUGUCAUUUUUCUAUCUCAGGAUGAUAAGACAAGAGUGCCAUUGGGGAUCACAGCAGCAAAUGAACAAGCGCCUAUUUUAAAGCACUUGGAUUAUCAGAUCUCAAAAUGCUCUGAGGAAAAUUGCUGUAAACUCGCUAGAAGUGGACUGAAACAAGUUUUGGCAGAUGGGUUUUUGCCGCCGCCGUACCCACUUAUACAAACUUCGACGAAAGUCGAAGUUCUUCAGCCUGGUGUAGAUACACAGAUUUGCUUUGGAGACUUACUAUUGCCAUGCCAUAUUGACAUUAAACCAGAACAUCCAGGAUUCACUAGAAUGCCGUAUGACUAUUUUUGCCCAAGUGUGCAAAAAGGCUUGUUGGCAAGAACUUGCAACUCUUGUGGCUUGUAUUUCGCUACAAAAAAAAUCUCAAAAUUCAUAAGCAAAGCAUACAUGGUUCAUCUGUGUCAUUAUCAGAAAAAGUCAAUCUAUUUUAAAUUAUUGCAAGACGAGGCAAAGAAAUAUUAAUAAAGUAAAAAAGCAGAAUCUGAACACGUCGGGUGGGUGGACGAAGAGACUGUCGAUAUAGAAAAUAUUAAUAUAAUCAAUUAUUAUGAACUUGAGAAAAAUUCUGUUCCAGAAAUUCAUAAUCUUGAAGAGGGGUUGGAAAAUCCUUUUACCGACGAUACGAAAUGAUUUUUAUAAUUGUACUGAUUAAUCUAAAAUGAGUGUAUAACUUAAGAUAUGCCAAAGACAUGUUUAAUAAUCCAAUUUCUAAAAUUUAAUUAUUUUUAAUAAGACAAAAAAUGUAUCAGAGCAAAUAGACAGUCAUAUAAUAUGACAUUAGAUAAUGUAGCUUGCAAUAUUUAAGUUAAAUAAACAUGUAUAAGCAAA